rnacentral:ribozyme from 13 species
UUUUUGGAUGGUUCUUCUUCUUCUGUUGGAUCUUCUUCUUCUUCUUCUCCUCUUCUUCCUUCUUUUGAUGCGGAUAUUGAAGGGGAGAAUGGAGAGAAAGUAAAUGGGGCGAAAGAAGAGAAGGA